GCGGGGCGUGGUGGCGUGUUCCUGUAAUCCCAGCUGCUGGGGAGGCUGAGGCAGGAGGAUGGUGAGUUCAAAGCCAGUCUCAGCAACAGCGAGGUGCUAAGCAACUCAGUGAGACCCUGUCUCUA
rnacentral:sRNA from 1 species